GCUCUCGUCGUUCAAUGGAUAGGACACUCCCCUGCGAAGGGAGAAAUGCAGGUUCGAUUCCUGCCGGGAGCA
rnacentral:tRNA from 2 species